rnacentral:rRNA from 1 species
AUUGAACGCUGGCGGCAGGCCUAACACAUGCAAGUCGAGCGGCAGCGGGAAAGUAGCUUGCUACUUUUGCCGGCGAGCGGCGGACGGGUGAGUAAUGCCUGGGAAAUUGCCCAGUCGAGGGGGAUAACAGUUGGAAACGACUGCUAAUACCGCAUACGCCCUACGGGGGAAAGCAGGGGACCUUCGGGCCUUGCGCGAUUGGAUAUGCCCAGGUGGGAUUAGCUAGUUGGUGAGGUAAUGGCUCACCAAGGCGACGAUCCCUAGCUGGUCUGAGAGGAUGAUCAGCCACACUGGAACUGAGACACGGUCCAGACUCCUACGGGAGGCAGCAGUGGGGAAUAUUGCACAAUGGGGGAAACCCUGAUGCAGCCAUGCCGCGUGUGUGAAGAAGGCCUUCGGGUUGUAAAGCACUUUCAGCGAGGAGGAAAGGUUGAUGCCUAAUACGUAUCAACUGUGACGUUACUCGCAGAAGAAGCACCGGCUAACUCCGUGCCAGCCGCCGCAGUAACAC